AUCGGCGUGGUUAGCAGAACAAGUUUGAAUACUUGGUCAAAGAGCGUGAAAGCCGCGUAUGCGAAAACAACGCUGACCUUAUGUAUGGUGUUUCGAGUAGGUCGGGGCACGAGAAACCCUGAUUGAAUCCGGCUGGACCACCAGCCAAGGCUAAAUAUAGUAUAUGAUCGAUAGUGAACUAGUACGGUGACGGAAAGGUGAAAAGAACCCCGGGAGGGGAGUGAAAUAGAACCUGAAAUUUUGUGCCUACAAGGAGUCGGAGCCCAGCACCUUUGAAAUCGAGUGGUACAAUGUAGGCGGAUGUUCUACGUGUACGUUUUGCAAAGUGAUCGGGAAUCAGAUCAAAUUUACUUCGGUCAGACUAGUGACUUAAGACGACGUCUCUCGGAACAUAAUUCCGGUAAGGAUACUUAUACCAAGAUAUAUGCGCCAUGGAGGGUUGUCUAUUAUGAAGCCUAUUCAUCACGUAAGCUGGCAUUAGCCCGUGAGAGGCAGUUGAAAGCUUAUGGACAAGCCAGGACUGCUCUGAAGAAGAGACUAAAUUUGAUCUGAUACUCGAUUUCAAAGGUGCUGGGUGACGGCGUGCUUUUUGUAGAACGAUCCAGCGAGUUAAUUUUUACGGCGAGGUUAAGUCAGAUGACGAAGCCACAGUGAAAGCGAGCAUUAACAGUGCGAUUUAGUCGUAAGGAUUAGACCCGAAACCAGGUGACCUAACCAUGAGCAGGUUGAAGCAACCUUAAUCGGUUGUGGAGGACCGAACCAGUGUAUAUUGCAAAAUGCUUGGAUGACUUGUGGUUAGCGGUGAAAUGCCAAUCGAACUUGGAGAUAGCUGGUUCUCCGCGAAAUAGUUAUAGGACUAGCGUCGUGUGAUAGCUUACGGGGGUAGAGCUCUGUCAAGAGAUAGGGGGAGCAAUCCUACCUACUCUUAAUAAACUACGAAUACCGUAUGUCUGUAUCACGGCAGUUAGAACGUCGGUGCUAAGAUCGGCGCUCAAAAGGGAAACAGCCCAGACCAUCAUCUAAGGUCCCCAAAUUUACGCUAAGUGGGAAACAAGGUGGAAUUUCUUAAACAGCUAGGAUGUUGGCUUAGAAGCAGCCAUUCAUUUAAAGAGUGCGUAACAGCUCACUAGUCAAGAGAUUCUGCGUGGAAGAUAUAACGGGGCUAAGCGUAAUACCGAAGAUAUGGAUUGCAAUUUAUUGCAGUGGUAGCGGAGCGUUCCUAUCGGCAGUGAAGCCGGACUGUUAAGUACCGGUGGAGCGUUAGGAAGUGAGAAUGCUGGAACGAGUAACCAUAAGACAGGUGAGAAUCCUGUCGGCCGAAAGAGCGAGGUUUCCUGGGCUAUGGUAAUCAUCCCAGGGUUAGUCGGGCCUAAGCCGAGGCGUUUAGCGUAGGCGAUGGACAUCAGGUUAAUAUUCCUGAACUAGUCAAACUUUGUAUGCAGUUAGCGAUGAGAUAGGUGGAGCGGAUUCAUGGUUUAUCCGUUCAAGUGAUAGAGGAAUCUUGAUCGAGUAAAAGUGAACCUACGGGUUUACGAUUCCGCUGAAGGCAUUGACCAGAAAAGCUGGCAUACGCAUGGGUUUGGCUACCCGUACCGCAAACCGACACAGGUGCUCGAGUCGAGGAGACUAAGGCUUACGAGAGAAUGAUUGCUAAGGAACUCGGCAAUACAGCGACCGUAACUUCGGAAUAAGGUCUGCCUACAUUUGUAGGCCGCAGCUAAAGAGCCCACGGAACUGUUUAUCAAAAACUCAGGUCUCUGCUAACACGAAAGUGGAUGUAUAGGGGCUGAAACCUGCCCGGUGCCGGAAGGUUAAGGGGAUUGCUUCACGGUGAGAACUGAAGCCCCGGUGAACGGCGGCGGUAACUAUAACCGUCCUAAGGUAGCGAAAUUCCUUGUCAGGU
rnacentral:rRNA from 1 species